AAGAGCCAAACAUGGUGUACCAACAAACCAUAUAUAAAACCAACUAGAUACUGCUGACGGUUAGUAAAUUUUGCAACACAUUGUUUACAUCCACUAACGCUCCAUUUAGCUUAAAAUUUUUUACCUCUGCGGAAAAAGGUAUGUUUGAUUGCAAAAAUGGAAGUUACAUGAGCAUUUCAGAGUAAACGCCUCUGCUUAGUGACCCUGCUUAAUACAUCUGAUUUCUAAAGAAUCCUUGGGUCGCCACGUUCAAGCUAUGCAUAGUAAACAAGAUUACGGGCCAAUCAUUUUCAGCUGCUUGACCUGUAAAAGCUGUACAUAUAACCGAUGAUUCACCUCGUGGCAGAAGUUUAGUGACAUGUAGUUGUAUUUAGAACUGGCAUGACUCAUCAAACAUGAACCUCCAUAGGAUGUGCUUAGCAUUCUCCACAGUACAACUGUCAAAUUCCAUUCAGAAGCAACACACUGAGCUGGCCUUGCUAGCAACAGGGCGAUCAUGGAUGUUUUUCAUUAUGUAUUUAGAGCAAAAACAUUGAAGAAGAAUGUAAAGUCAUUCGUAUUGGAUAAAAUUUCUAGAAUCUCAGUUUCACAAUUGAUUAGUACCAAAUCUCUUCAAGUUACUGACUUUUGUUAGAAGCAAAUCAAGUAAGAGACACCGGUUAAAGACUCGGAAUAUGCUUCCCCCGAAUAAACUGUUUGAGAAUGGCUUUCUCUUCAUCAAUUUGUUGCUUCUCAUCAGAAUCCUUUGGCUUGAUUUUUCUUUUCUCUUCCAAUAUCCAAUUGAAAAGCUCACGCUGCUGAUCCUCAG
rnacentral:lncRNA from 1 species